AGAAUCAACGCUGGCGGCGUGCCUAACACAUGCAAGUCGAACGAGAAAGUGGAGCAAUCCAUGAGUAAAGUGGCGACCGGGUGAGUAACACGUGACUAACCUACCUUCGAGUGGGGGAUAACCUCGGGAAACCGAGGCUAAUACCGCAUAACAUCGCAAGAUCAAGGCAGCAAUGCGCUGGAAGAGGGGGUCGCGGCUGAUUAGCUAGUUGGCGGGGUAACGGCCCACCAAGGCGAAGAUCGGUA
rnacentral:rRNA from 1 species